ACCCAGCAGCUGUUGUUGUCAGGGCGCUUCCGUGUACAGACCUUACAACACAUCAGCAUUAUUUUCAACCUGCAGACAAGUGAUUUUUAAGGCCAAUCCACCAGUUGUCUACAGGGACUGUAGAAACUGUACAUUUUGUACGCCAUGGUAUGACUUUUGAUAAAAGCCGGUGCCUACGUGGUGCGCAAAAUCAGCGCAGCCCUUAGACAGGGAGAGCAGAAUGAACAACCUGUGCUCACACCAUGUGAACUGGCUAAAAGUAAAAAGAAGCUCUAUGCAGGGGAUGCAGCAUUAAUGUCAGCUCCAGAGCCUGAGGGUGCUGCUGGCUCAACUGCACCGGCAAUGACAGCUAUACAGAAAUGUGGUUCCUGAGGUUAAAGGCCAUGCAGAAGCAAAUCUGAAACAGGUGUCAUCACUGCUGAUAAAACUCUGCAUCCCUGCUAACAAGCACGUUAUAUGAGGCUGAUGUUUCAAAAGGGCUUUUUGAAAUGCUUAAGCAGCAAGACCUAAUAAACCCUAAUCAUUAGAAAAAACAUUGAACAUCAUCAAACAAUUGGUAUAAGCUGCACCCACAUCAGGGAUUUUAUACGUGCCUAAGCAGAAUGUGAGACAGAAUUCUGAAACCUAACCAGUUUUGCUCUGCAUGGCUUUUUGAUUUUAGGGGGCCAAUCUGUUUCUGCUCAACUGCAGUAUGUGAAGGUCUGUUCAUCAACCUCUGUUUUAGUGGCGGUUCAGAUCUGAUGUUUACCUGCAGCUGUUUUAUUUAUUAUCUCCAUUUGUUUAACUAACUGCAUAUAAAUGAAACAAAACAAAAAAUUACUUUAUAUAACCUUAUGUAAUGACCAAUGCAACCAAUAAAAUUGUGAAACACCAA